GAGUAGCUCAGUCGGUUAGAGCAUAGUGCUGAUUACACCAAGGCUGUAGGUUCGAUCCCUGUUUGGGACA